CUCAUUGGCGAGCCUGACGGAGCAUGUUGCGUGAAGGAUGAAGGAUUGUGGUCCGUAAACUUCUUUUGCUAGAGAAGAAUUCAUGACGGUAUCUAGCGAAUAAGCGUCGGCUAACUUCGUGCCAGCAGCCGCGGUAAUACGAGGGACGCAAGUGUUAUCCAGAAUGAUUGGGCGUAAAGGGUCUGUAGGUGGUCUCAAAAGUCUUCUGUUUAAUGUCACGGCUCAACCAUGAAAUCGCAGUUGAAACUCUGAGACUUGAGUAGAAAAGAGGCGAGGGGAAUUCCCAGUGGAGCGGUGAAAUGCGUAGAGAUUGGGAAGAACACCAAUGGCGAAAGCACCUCGCUGGGAUCAUACUGACACUGAGAGACGAAAGCUAAGGGAGUGAAUAGGAUUAGAUACCCUAGUAAUCUUAGCCGUAAACGAUGAAAACUAGGUAUUGAGUUCGAAAUUAACUCAGUGCCGUAGCUAACGCAUUAAGUUUUCCGCCUGGGGAGUACGCUCGCAAGGGUGAAACUCAAAGAAAUUGGCGGGGACCUGCACAAGCGGAGGAGUAUGCUGUUUAAUUCGAUGCAACACGAAGAACCUUACCGGGGCUUGACAUGUCAUGAAUCUCUUUGAAAGAAGAGAGUGCCUUCGGGAGCAUGAACACAGGUGGUGUAUGGCUGUCGUCAGCUCGUGCCGUGAGGUGUUGGGUUAAGUCCCGCAACGAGCGCAACCCUUGUCUUUAGUUAAAUAAUUUGAAUCUAGAGAGACUGCCAAUGAUAAAUUGGAGGAAGGUGAGGAUGAAGUCAAGUCAGCAUGCCCCUUAUGUCCCGGGCUACAAGCGUACUACAUGGGUGAGACAAUGAGAUGCAAACCUGCGAGGGAAGCAAACCUCAAAAACUCACUCUCAGUUCAGAUUGCAGACUGAACUCGUCUGCAUGAAGGUGAUCGCUAGUAUCGUGUCAGCUAUACACGUGAUACGUCUCAGUCGUGUACACACCGCCGUCACACUAUGAGUCUACUUACUAGUCAUUACUACAUUCGAGGGAUGUCUACGGUAGGUCGGUACUGAGUGAAGUCUAACAGUACAGUACUGAGGUGCGCUGAACACUCUAAAGGCGAAUUCGUU
rnacentral:rRNA from 1 species